rnacentral:rRNA from 1 species
AGUGAACGCUGGCGGUAGGCCUAACACAUGCAAGUCGAACGGCAGCACAGUAAGAGCUUGCUCUUACAGGUGGCGAGUGGCGGACGGGUGAGGAAUACAUCGGAAUCUACUUUUUCGUGGGGGAUAACGUAGGGAAACUUACGCUAAUACCGCAUACGACCUACGGGUGAAAGCAGGGGAUCUUCGGACCUUGCGCGAUUGAAUGAGCCGAUGUCGGAUUAGCUAGUUGGCGGGGUAAAGGCCCACCAAGGCGACGAUCCGUAGCUGGUCUGAGAGGAUGAUCAGCCACACUGGAACUGAGACACGGUCCAGACUCCUACGGGAGGCAGCAGUUGGGAAUAUUGGGCAAUGGGCGCAAGCCUGAUCCAGCCAUACCGCGUGGGUGAAGAAGGCCUUCGGGUUGUAAAGCCCUUUUUUUGGGAAAGAAAAACAGCAGGUUAAAACCCCGCUGUUCUGACGGUACCCAAAGAAUAAGCCCCGGCUAACUUCGUG